GCAUCGAAUAUAACUGGAAACGAGGGAAUCUAUGCCAGCAGCAGCAGCACAAAGCCUGCAAUAUGUGUUCAAAGCUCAAAAUGCAUUCAACAGAUGAUCCUGCAGUGACACCUAACAGCCUACAAUUUGCAUACGGCAUUGAAUGAUACCUGUGUGGCCCACAUCACAUCAUCCACAGCUUAUUGAUUGAGAAAGAUGGUUCCCCAGUCCAUGUGAAGCCUGCUCCUCCACUCAAUUAACGGACCUGUCUAAACUGGUCCCGAAACAGUGCUGGAAACUCUUGUCAAGUAGAAUCUCGCUAGGUUGGGUCACUACCAGGAAAUCCUGAUGAACGUACAUAAAAUCAUGAGCAGCACAGAUGGGGUAGACAAUCUGAACGCUUUUGCCAGGUUGGAAAUAUUAAAUAUUAGAAGGCAUUCCUUUAAGAUUCCAGCAUCUGCCGUUUCUACUUAAUUGCGUUGGUGAAAAUUGUUGAAUAAAUCGACGCAAUUUUUUAACGGGAAUUGGAAAAGGAAUAUCAGGAAAACGACCUUGAAUUGAAAAAACCCCAUUAGUAUAAGGAUUGACUGCGGCCACAGUCCUUCCCCGGCUCGUGUUGCAAAGCAAAGUGGUGUUCGGUCUUGAAACUAGA